UGGGAUAUAGCCAAGUGGUAAGGCUACGGAUUUUGAAUUCGUUAUUCAAAGGUUCGAAUCCUUUUAUCCCAU
rnacentral:tRNA from 1 species